GCGCCCGUAGCUCAGUUGGAUAGAGUGUUGGUUUCCGAAGCCAAAGGUCACAGGUUCGACUCCUGUCGGGCGCACCA
rnacentral:tRNA from 4 species